rnacentral:rRNA from 1 species
AUACGGAGGGUGCAAGCGUUACUCGGAAUCACUGGGCGUAAAGCGCGCGCAGGCGGCUAUUUAAGUUGGAUGUGAAAGCCUACGGCUCAACCGUAGAACUGCAUCCAAAACUGUCAGGCUAGAGUGUGGGAGAGGAAGAUGGAAUUAGUUGUGUAGGGGUAAAAUCCGUAGAGAUAACUAGGAAUACCAAAAGCGAAGGCAAUCUUCUGGAACACUACUGACGCUGAGGCGCGAAGGCGUGGGGAGCAAACAGGAUUAGAAACCCCAGUAGUCC